GUGCUUUUGGGAUGAACAAGUCCCUCAUAUUUAUUCAAUUCCAUCCUUUUCACUUUGUCAGCUGUUUCUUGGUGUCUAGCUGAUCAUUUUGGGAUGGAAAAUUC
rfam:Morus notabilis contig10677, whole genome shotgun sequence.